UACCGCGGUUACACGAGGGGCCCAAGUUGACAGCCGCCGGCGUAAAGCGUGGUUACGGAUCACCUUAACUAAAGUCAAACAUCUCCCAAGCAGUCGUACGUACCCGGGGAAAGGAUGCUCGACCACGAAAGUGACUUUAACAACCCCGAACCCACCACAGCUAGGGCA
rnacentral:rRNA from 1 species